rnacentral:rRNA from 1 species
UACAGAGGUCCCAAGCGUUGUUCGGAUUUACUGGGCGUAAAGGGUGCGUAGGCGGUCGGGCAAGUCUGACGUGAAAUCUCCAAGCUCAACUUGGAAAUGGCGUCGGAUACUAUUCGGCUGGAGGAAUGGAGGGGAGACUGGAAUUCUCGGUGUAGCAGUGAAAUGCGUAGAUAUCGAGAGGAACACCAGUGGCGAAGGCGAGUCUCUGGACAUUUCCUGACGCUGAGGCACGAAAGCCAGGGGAGCAAACGGG